UGCAAGUCAAAUACUUUUGGGUCAGAAAUGAAAGAAAGAGAGAAUCCAGGGACCGAGGUUGCAAAUGCAGAAAUUCGGUGGGGUUAAAUUGCACAAUCAAAAGUUAAGGGGUUAAAGUAAUGUUUCUGUAAUUUACAAAGUUGUGGGCUCGUUUGUAAAGAACCAAAAGUUCGAGGACCUGCUGUGCAAAAUGGAAGAAACCACCAUUGGAGAAGAUCGAGAGCUUUCUCUUCGCCGGACCUGAGUUUGAUUCCGACGAUGAGCACGGCCGCGACGGUGGAGCUGAGCACGGCGAGGAGGAGACGACUUGGACCGUAGAUCCCGUGGUGGAGAAUCGCGAGAAGCUUGGAAUGGUGGUCACGGCUGCGGUUUGCUCACGAAUCGAGCCAAUGAUGGAAGAGGAAUCGUGAUGGG
rnacentral:lncRNA from 1 species